CCUUCCUAGUUUUCCUUAUUUCACCUGUGCACCCUCUGUAGGCCCUCGAGAGAGGAUCUAUGUUUUCUAUAAUCUACUCUAUCGCAUGUCCAGAACGUAUACAUACAAACUUUUACAACUUUCAGCAACGGAUCUCUUGGCUCUCGCAUCGAUGAAGAACGCAGCGAAUUGCGAUAAGUAAUGUGAAUUGCAGAUUUUCAGUGAAUCAUCGAAUCUUUGAACGCACCUUGCGCUCCUUGGUAUUCCGAGGAGCAUGCCUGUUUGAGUGUCAUGGAAUUCUCAACCGUGUCUCGAUCUGAUCUCGAGGCAUGGCUUGGACUUGGGAGUUGCUGGCGGCCUCGUCAGCUCUCCUCAAACACAUUAGCGACGUUCAGCAAGCCUGACGUGCACGGCCUUUUUUCGACGUGAUAACGAUCGUCGUGGGCUGGAGCGUAGGGUGAGCGGUGAAUCGCUUCCAAUUCCUUAGACUUAUCAUGGUCUUUUCGAUCUCGAUCUUGAUGGGGGGGAAACUUUUGACCUUCGAGAGACCCGAGCCUUAGUUACUAGUCGGUCGUGAGGCCAACGAACGCAGGGCCUAGGUUUGAAACUUUGAAGCAAUCGCAAUUCCCUCUGUCUCGAUCCUGAAUCAUUUGAACUC
rnacentral:rRNA from 1 species